rnacentral:sRNA from 1 species
GCCAGGCACGGUGACACAUGCCUGUAAUCCCAGUGACUUGGGAGGCUGAGGCAGGAGGAUCAAAAAGUUCAAAGCCAGCCUUAGCAACUUAGCAAGGCCCUAAGCAACUUAGUGAGAAUCUGUCUCAA